CAAGUCGAACGAUGAAGGGGAGCUUGCUCCCUGGAUUAGUGGCGAACGGGUGAGUAACACGUGAGCAACCUGCCCCUAACUCUGGGAUAACGCUUCGAAAGGAGUGCUAAUACCGGAUAUGAGCCUGGAAGACAUCUUCUGGGUUGGAAAGUUUUCGGUUAGGGAUGGGCUCGCGGCCUAUCAGCUUGUUGGUGAGGUAAAGGCUCACCAAGGCGACGACGGGUAUCCGGCCUGAGAGGGCGACCGGACACACUGGGACUGAGACACGGCCCAGACUCC
rnacentral:rRNA from 2 species